rnacentral:rRNA from 1 species
UAGCGGCGGACGGGUGAGUAACACGUGAGUAACCUGCCUUAGACAUUGGGAUAGCCUCGGGAAACCGGGAUUAAUACCAAAUAAAAUCAUAAUGACACAUGUCAUAACGAUCAAAACUCCGGUGGUCUAAGAUGGACUCGCGUCCCAUUAGCUAGUUGGUAGAGUAAAAGCCUACCAAGGCGACGAUGGGUAGCCGGCCUGAGAGGGUGAACGGCCACAUUGGAACUGAGAAACGGUCCAA